rnacentral:lncRNA from 1 species
UGAUAUCAAUCUGGAAACUAAUUUGAACAAAAAAAACUAAAGAAACUAUUUUACAUGUGAUUACACCCCGAAUAAAUCGUUUUACAGAGUAAGAAAAACGGGAUAAUGAGUGGAACAAACAUAUAUUUACUAUAGCAGUUGUCUAAAAUUAUACAUUUUUCGUUACAAAUAGUUACACAUACUCUUCUUUCUCUCUCUUUAUCUCAUUGUAAUGUGAUUAGUUUGCCAAGUUGGGCAAAUGGGAGAAGAGAGACAAUAACAGAAGUACUAAAUUUUAAGAGGCUACAAAAAGACAAGUCCAAACAUAUUCACACACUUAAAAAGCUCUCUCUCUCAUAUAUUUUUGUUCUAUAUGUGUGGUGUCUCUCUUUGACUCCUC